CUCUGAACUCCAUGUGCUUCAGUUAACCCUUUCCCAAUGCGGUUCUCCGAUCAUUUUGUUUUAAAAACUAAUGUUUUCAUGAUGGAGACUGCUAGGUCACAUUCCCCAGGUAAAGAUAUUCAAAUUAUAGAAACCAGCCAAAGGUUUCCAUGAGGAAGGAUAUACUGAUUUUGGACUUAGACUUUUUCAAAUCCUUUUUUUUAACUUGAUAUAACAAGAGAGGAGAUCACACUUCUGAGAGGCAGGCUCACAUGCUUCAUGUGAAAGCACUUUGUACACAGUAAGUUGCUACCCAGUGUCAGCUAUUAUGCAUGGUACAGGACCAUACUUCUCAACUACAGUGUGUACACCCCUGGGACAUGAAGCCACCAAAUCAAUUGUCUGCAUUUUCUUUGGGUAUACAUUUUACCCUAUAGCAAAUACUUUAAAAUAUGUUUUAAGUAAACAGAUAUCAUGGAGUAAAAUGUAAAUUUUAUAUUUAUGUGAUAAAAGGUGUCUUAAUUUUCUUAUAUAUAAAUUGUUAUUGAUAUGUGAAUGUUAGCACGUAAUAGGGUUGUAGGAGGGUUGCAUUCUUAUAGAUAAGUAGGGAAACAUGCUGAGUUGACUGUGUUUAGCAUAUAAUAGAUGCUCAGGAAAUGCAAAUUUCCUUCUUUUCUUUCACUGGUAAGACAGGGGCGUUCAUGUAGUUUAAUCAUUUUAAGUAUUUGAAAUGUGUUCCUUAUUUUGAAAAUGUCCCUUAAAAUACUUUAUAAAUACUUUCAAUUUUUGCUUAUAAAUUCUACAUGUAUAAAUAGGGUUUCUCUAGCUAUCACCUGUCUAUAGGAAAAAAUAAUAAGUUCAUAUUAAAAGUAAUAACUCAGAAUUCAUUAACAUUGUCUCUAUCAAUGGGAGCCUCCCCUAAAAGUCACAGUUGGUUAUCUUCAGCUCAUAAACAUCCUUUCUUGUUCUUGGCUCAAGUCCUCUACCAUAUAGGUUGCUACUUUUAAAGUAAAAUUACUAAAUACUGGUAAUUUUGAGCACCUGUUCAUAUGUGUGUUGGACAUUUGAGUAACGUGGUUAUUCAUACCUAUUGUCCAUUUUUCACAUGGGCUGUACAAAUGGGACAAUAUGUAGUUCUACACACAUUCUGAAUUAUAUACAUUGCCUAUGUUUUCUUUCAGGAUUUGGAAGUAUUAUGUUUAAUUUUUCUUUUUUAUAAAGAAAUUUAGAGUUUACAUGCAAUCAAAUUUAAUAAACUUUCCCUUCCUGACUUGCACCUUUUGUGCUUAAGACACCUUCCCCUACCUCAACAUAUUGAGAUUAUCCUGUUUUCUUCUAAUGGGUUACUGGUCACAUUAGGUCUUCAAUGUGCUACACACUUUAAAUAAUCAGAUCUCUGUGACUCAGAGGAGAACUCACUCAUCAACCAGGGGAUGGCACUGAGCCAUUCAUGAGGGAUCCACCCCCAUGAGCCAAGCACUUCCCGUCAAGCCCCACCUCCAACACUGGGAAUCACAUUUCAGCAUGAGAUUUGGGGAAAAUAAAUAUCCAAACCAUAUGAUUCCAAAAACAUGAUCCAUGAAAGAAGAAAUUGAAAAAUUGAGCUUUAUCUACUGUAUACAUGUCAAAAAAUUUAAAUUGCACAUGUGAAAUAUGUGCAUUGUGUUGUAUGUCAGUUAUGCCUGAAUAACUCUGUUUUAAAAAUAACAGGAAAAUGGAUCCCAUUUUCUAAGAAUUCUGGAGGUGGUUGUAUACCCUCUGAAGAUGUCUUUCCCAGGAAGAAGGACUAUCUUGCUUAAAAAGUUAUUUCUUAUAUUUCACCAAAAUCUCUUUUACUGUACUGUAAACAUUUUAUUUUCCCUUUAAAAAAUAGUAACAGCUCACCUUGCUUCAUUUUGAAUGUUGAAUCACUUUUGGUGGUAUAAUCUUACAUAGUUUGGAUCCCUUAUAAGCUGAAAAGUCGUGAGAUGGAGAGUAAAUAUAAGGAGAUACUCUUGCUAACCAGCCUGGAUAACAUCACCGAUGAGGAACUGGAUAGGUUUAAGUGCUUUCUUCCAGAUGAGUUUAAUAUUGCCACAGGCAAACUGCAUACUCUAAACAGCACGAGUAGCCAACUUGAUUUAAAACGCUGGCAUGGUGUCUGCAGUGAGGAAGACCGUAUUUUUCAGAAGCUGAAUUAUAUGCUUGUGGCAAAAUGUCUUCGGGAAGAGCAGGAAACAGGUAUAUGUGGGAGUCCCUCAUCUGCCCGGUCCGUUUCUCAGUCAAGACUUGGUCUUUCCUUUCAUGGCAUUUCUGGGAAUGCAUGUUGAUGAGGGAAACGGGAUGACACUAAGCUAUUCAUGAGGGAUCCACCCCCCGUGAUCCAGACACCUCCCAUCAGGCCCCACCUCCAACACUAGGGAUUGCAUUUCAGCAUGAAAGUCCCCCAGGGAAGGCUGCUGGAAUUUGUUUGCUAACUUACUACACCAGCCUCGUUGCCCCCUUUUACUGAGAAAUCACUCCUAGGAAGUGUUUGUUACAAAUUCCACAAAUCCAUCCCAGCCUUUGUUUGCAUCUCUUGUUCCAGCCCUUAGGGCUGCCACUUCCAUUUGUCAUAUUUUCACUUCUCCAGUUCAAUUGCAGCGAACAUGAACAUGGAAUUUCAAUCUUAACUUCUCAAAACCUCAUUUACAUGUUUACCAAAGAUUUUAAGAUAAAGGAAAGAAAUCAUAGCACUGGAAAAAAAAUAAACUGGGAUACUAGGUCGUUUUGUUCUUCCACACAGCCUGCUCAUUCUUCUCCCUGUCCCCGGCCUGCUGUGGUCCCAGACGAUCCUUUCUUCUUCAAGGGAGUCUUGUAUUCAUACAUCCGCUCUUUCAAAUUCAAAUAUUAUUUAUCCUUCUCUCUAUUUCCUUCCACUAAUGACAACAAACUACCCGCACACAAAAACUGUUUUUAUAUUAUUGGACAAAUCAUUGAAUGUCUCCAUCUUAUCUGCAUUUUGUUUACAUUUCUGAUCUUUUUCUCUAUAAUUAAUAUAUCCUUUAUUUAUGUCUGUAUAAUUAAAAUUGACCAACAAAGGAGCAUCUCACACUAGGAUCCCCCAAAAUGAGAGCCUCCAAAUGUAACAAUUUAGAGAUUUUUAAGUUCAACUCUAACAGCAAAACUUAUACGACAUCUUUUACUCCGUGUGUGUGUGCGCGCGCACGCACGCAGGCACGCAACAUGGAUAACAUGGUUUCUAUGUUUACAUGAUUUCUAUGAAGUCGAGAUGAAACCAUGUAAGUGAUAAUAUAAGCCACAGAUCUAUACAGAUAUAAACUGUUAGGCAAUAUUUAAGGCGCUUUAGCGAAAGGGCUUGUUGUCUUAUGCAUUAUAUUUUUCUAGGUUAUUCAAAGUCAGAAAGUGUAGUGCUUAGGUAUUGCCACAAGGUGGCAGUAACUUCACAUAAUGUGCGGAAGCAACUAACCGACCUGCAGAAAUCAAUUAAGUUCCUUUACAGCUCUAAAUUUCUAUUCUAGAUCACGCCUAGGCCUACUUUGAAAGUAGCAAAUUUAUUUAUUUGUGCCCCAUGCUACCCUUAACUGUCCCUGGAGGAAACCAGUUUUUUGUUGUGUUUUCUGUAGGUUUCAAUUUUCAUUCCUUCUUGAAAGUUCUUUCUGCAUAACCAGUGCUAUGCCUGCAUGUGGAGCACUAUACAGUAUUCUACCCACGAUCUCACCUCAUGGAAGAUAGAGGAGAUCUGGAGAAAUCUUUAAUGAAGACGGUUAAUAAUCAUUUUAUGGGAAAGAUCAGUAGAUGGAAAGAGAGAUGACAAAGUAUGAGGACACUUAAGCCUGGAAAAAGGAAGCUGAGAGAGCUUGUGAUCAAAUUCUGUAAAAGUCCUGCAAGAUUAAAAUAGAAAGUUGAAAAUGAUAAAUGAAAUAAUAAGUGAGAAUUCUGCAUCUGAUUAUUAAUGAAAAAGAGAUUUACAGUGGGCAGACAUACUCGUCCACAAAUAUCGGUACCACUGUGUGGGAGAUGAAAUAUGACUGAUGUGAUGUGGUAGAAUGAUAGGCUGAUUCCCUUGGCCUCCCUUCACUCUGUUUUUUCUCGUAUACUCUCAACACAGAAGGGAAACUUUAUCUUCAUACCUCUCUGAAACCAGUUUCAUGAAACUAAGCUACCUUUGAAAGUUAGUUUUACUACUUCUUAGAGUAGACAUUCCUUUACACUAACCCUGACAGAGUCCAUGACUUUCUAUUGUUUGAAAUGUAGUGACAUAUUGUUAGAUAUAUAGUUUACAAAUAUUUUAUCCCAUUCUGUAAGCUGUCCCUUCAUUCUGUUGAUUGUAUACUGUGCAGAAGUUUUUAAGUUUGAUGUAAUCUCAUUUAUCCAUUUGUGCUUUUGCUGCCUGUGCUUUCGAGGUCUUAUUCAAACAAUUCUUACACAUACCAAUGUCCUAAGGCAUUUUCUCUGUGUUUUCUUCUAGUAGUUUCAUAGUUCUGGAUCUUACCUUUAAGUCUUUAAUUCAUUUUGAGUGACUUUCACAUGUUGUGAAACAUAAGAGUCUAAUUUUAUUCUUCUUCAUGUGAUUAUUCAAAACAUAUAAGGAAUUCAAAGAACUCAAUACUUGGUAUAAAAUAAACAAAAACAAAAUAAAAUAACCUGAUUACAAAGUAGAUAAAAGCCUGAAUAGACAUUUCUGAAACGAAGUCAUACAAAUGGCCACCAGGUAUAUGAAAAAUUCUCCACAUCACCAAACAUUGAGUAAUGCAAAGCAAGGCCAUAAUGAGAUUUCACCUCAUCCCAGUUUGAACGGCUAUUAUCAAAAAGACAAGAGAUAACAAAUGUCAGCAAGGAUGUGGAGAAAAAGGAGCUCCUUACACUGUUGGUGAGAAUGUAAACUCAUAAAGCCAUUAUGGGAAAUAGUAUGGAGGCGCCUCAAAAAAUUAAAAAGAGAAAUACCAUAUGAUGUAGCAGUCCCACUUCUUAUAGUAAGAAGAAUGAAAUGAGUAUGUUGAAGAGCUCUCUACACUCUCGUAUUUAUUGCAGCACGAUUCACGGUUAUGAAUGGCACUAUUCACAAUUCACAUUGAUUGAUGUGGAUUCAGCCUAAGUGUCCACUAGUGGAUGAAUGGAUAAAGAAAAUGUGAAGGCACAUGCUGACAAACAUACAGAUGCACUUAAAUUUAUACUAAAAAUCACUGGACUGCGUUGCUAACUUCCAUUAGGGAAGAAUGUAGAACAGACCAUGGGAUUCUUUCAUUGCCAGGUUCAUGUGACCCUUUCCAUAUGGUCAACACCAGACCAGAAAUUUAAUCAGUUCCAGCCCAAGUGCCAUCACCAAAAUGUGAGAAGGCUGCCCACUGCUCAAAGGUUUUCAAUUAAGAUAGGUACUCCUGGCUGGGUGCGGUGGCUGAGGCCUGUAAUCCCAGAACUUUGGGAGGCCAAGGCGGGUGAUCACGAGGUCAGGAGAUCGAGACCAUCCUGGCUAACACAGUGAAACCCCGUCUCUACUAAAAAUACAAAAAAAAAAAAAAAAAAAAAAAAAUUAGCCGGCCAUGGUGGCCGGUGCCUGUAGUCCCAGCUACUCGGGAGGCUGAGGCAGCAGAAUGGCGUGAACCCAGGAGGUGGAGCUUGCAGUGAGCUGAGAUCGCACCACUGCACUCCAGCCUGGGCGACAGAGCGAGACUCUGUCUCAAACAAACAAACAAACAAAAAGAUAGGUACUCUUUUUUUGAACAUGUGACAUGGGUGUAGACAACUGUGUUUCAGUUUGACUGGGAAGAUAAAAGUGUUUUCUUUAUAGAGGAAGAAAGCCCAGGUCUGUGCCCUCAGGGCAGGCUGGGGAAAUUGAAAGUGUGGUUUGGGUAAGACGGUACCUGGUAGAAAGGACAUCCAUGCAGAAUCAGUGCACAUUGAGUGCAAAAGGUGGCUUUGGUGGCUAGACAAAUGGCCCUUUGUAAGGAAGGCUAUGCACACUGGUGUCAGCAGCUCUGGCCAGUUCUAGUUGAAUCUACAGAACCUGACAGGGCAUGAUUGAUGAACCCCUAAGUUAGAAACACCUGGGUCCAGGUAACUGAGGACUGUUCCACACAUACAAAAAGCAUGGAGAAAGACGUGUGGCUUAUCAAUGAAAAGUAAAAUGUUAAGCCCUUCACUGACUGAACAGAUCCCUUCUUGGCCAAGGGGACCCCAGGAAAACCUUAAAACUGAGUUUCUGGCCAUGAUGGGUGGGAGGUCAGACACACUUCACUAUACCCUACCUCCCUUUUAUGGUUUAGACACAACAACUGAUCAGGAUUGUUAAAACAGAGAUCAUAAAACUGACAGAACAGACUCUUCAUGGCCAAAAAAUACCAAAUUAUACACAGGACCUAGGGCCAUGCCAGGCAAAGAUUAAGUCGUGCACUCCAACACUUAAAGAAUAAAUAAUGUUCUAGUACUUCCAGUCCAGGCCAGAGGAAUUAGGCAAGAGAAAAAACAAUAAAGGGCAAGAGUAAGUCAAACUAUCCUUUUUUGCAGAUAACAUGAUUCUAUAUCUAAAAAACCAUAGUCUCAGCCCCAAAGCUCUAUCAGCUGAUAAACAACUUCAGCAAAGUUUUAGGAUACAAAAUCAAUGUACAAAAAUAAGUAGUAUUCCUAUACACUAACAACUGCCAACCGGAGCGCCAAAACAGGAAUUCAAUCCCAUUCACAACUGCCAAUAAAAGAAUAAAAUACCCAGGAAUACAGCUAACCAGGAAGGUGAAAGAUUUCUACAUUGAGGGUUAUAGAACACUUCUCAAAGAAAUCUGAGAUGACACAAACAAAUUGAAAAACAUUUCACGCUCAUGGAUAAGAAGAAUUAAUUUCACUAAAAUGUCCAUACUGCCCAAAGCAAUUUACAGAUUCAAUGCUAUUCCUAUCAAAUUACCAUUGACAUUCUUCACAGAACUAGAAAAAUCUACUCUAAAAUUAAUAUGGAAUCAAAAAAGAGCCCGAAUAGCCAAGACAAUCCUAAGCAAAAGGAAUAAAGCUGGAGGCAUCAUGUUACCUGACUGCAAACAUACUACAGGGCUACAGUAACCAAAGCAGCAUGGCAUUGGUACAAAAACAGAUACACAGACCAGUGGAACAGAAUAGAUAGCUCAGAAAUAAGGCCGUACACCUACAACCAUCUGAUCUUUGGCAAAGCUGACAGAAGCAAGCAAUGGGGAAAGGACUCCCUUUUCAAUAAAUGGUGCUAGGAGAACUGGCUACCCAUACGAACAAGAUUGAAACUAGACCUCUUCCUUAUACCAUAUACAAAAAUCAACUCAAGCUGGAUUAAAGACUUAAAUGUAAAACCCAAAACUAUAAAAAUCCUGACGACAACUUAGGCAAUACCAUCUGGACAUAGGAACGGUCAAAGAUUUCAUAACAAAGAUGCCAAAAGCAAUCAUAACAAAAGCAAAAAUUGAAAAAUGGAAUCUAAUUAAACGUAAGAGCUUCUGUACAGCAAAAGAAACUAUCAACAGAGUAAACAGACAAUCUAUAGAAUAAAAGAAAAUUUUGCAAACUAUGCAUCUGACAAAUGUCUAAUAUCCAGCAUCUAUAAGGAACUUAAACAAAUUUACAAGAAAAAAACAAACAACCUUGUUGAAAAGCGGGCAAAGAAUGUGAACAGAUGUUUUUCAAAGAAGACAUAUGUGUGGCCAAAAAGCACAUGAGUAAAAGCUCAAUAGGACUGAUCAUGAGAAAAAUGCAAAUCAAAACCACAAUGAGAUAUAUCUCACACCAGUCAGAAUGGCUAUUAUUUUAUUU
rnacentral:lncRNA from 1 species